rnacentral:lncRNA from 1 species
UUGUUUCUGGUAUACUGCAUAUCAAAUGUAAAAUGUUAACUACCCAAAUUGUCUGAGCCUCCCAAAUUGCAUUUUAUUUUAAUCCAACUAACUCCUUAGUCCUCUGGUAAUAAAAUGUUAACUAUUAAGCUUAAAAAUUAUUACUAAAACAAAUGUUAUAUUCUCGCUUCACUGUAACAGUUUUGAGAGAUGGCUUAUAGACUAAAUUGAAUCCCAACAAAUCACAAAGUUAUUCUCCUACUCUUUGCAUCAUCAGGUAGGGAUGGUGCUGAUUGAUUGUUACAAGUGACUAUAGGUUAGGGGUGCUAAACAGGUCGGGUUCGCGGGUUGACGGGUACAACCUGACCCGAACCCGAAAAUUUUAUAUGAACCCGAACCCGAAAAUCUUUAUGAGAAAUUAUGACCUGAACAACACGAAGCAAGCGAAUCAUGGCUUUAAGAUCUUGUGUGUCAACUAAUGGAGCUCCAUCAGUUUCAACAGGCUUACUUCCAAUUGACCUACGACUAAUGAAUCUUUUCUGAGAAAUUGACUCCAUCAGUUUCUUGCGGGUAAACUACAUAAUUACCUGGCAUCGUGAGGAUCUCUUUUCUUGCGGCAGCUUGAAGCCGUUUUAUUGUUUCCGCAUACUCCGUUACGUACCCUUCUGCUUCGUUGUCGACAAAAGGUGACAAAUGCGGUGGUAGAAUCCUAGGUAACACAUAACGUUUAGCAUCUAAAACUAUUAAAUAAUGGUUUUUUAUUCAAACACUUAGUUUCAUGUGAUAGUAGGUGUGGUG